AUCACUUCUCAGCCUUCUAGACUUCUGACUAAGAUUAAGUAUAGCAUCUAUUCUCAUAAGUUUAAUUUCUGACGCAACGUCUAUCAGAGGAUAACACAUGAAAUAGAUUUUUGAAGCAGGGAGAUGAAAUGGGAGCCUGUUUCAUCCACUGUACACAUUAACCUGGCAUUACAGUACCUCCAAAAAUAGUGCUCCAAUU